AUGCGAGACGACGUCAGGGUCCGCGGCCUCAAACAGCUCAAGGGCAACCCAAAGUUUUUUUUGGGGGGGGGGCACAAGGGGCGGUCGGCAGAGCCGAGGAGAGCGACUGAGACCAUCUGGGAGUCGAUGGAGCAGUUUGAGGGAUAUUGGAGAGAGAUGUUGGCCAGGAGUAUGCUGCAGCACAGGCGUUUUGAGGAGCGUGUCAUCAGUCUGGUGCAACCUGUGCCGGCUCCAUGCACCUGGCCUCCAGUGCACCUUCUCAGCCUGGUAGGUCCUGUGCCGGCUCCAUGCACCUGGCCUCCAGUGCACCUUCUCAGCCUGGUAGGUCCUGUGCCGACUCCAUGCACCUGGCCUCCAGUGCACCUUCUCAGCCUGGUAGGUCCUGUGCCGGCUCCAUGCACCUGGCCUCCAGUGCACCUUCUCAGCCUGGUAGGUCCUGUGCCGGCUCCAUGCACCUGGCCUCCAGUGCACCUUCUUAGCCUGGUAGGUCCUGUGCCGACUCCAUGCACCUGGCCUCCAGUGCACCUUCUCAGCCUGGUAGGUCCUGUGCCGGCUCCAUGCACCUGGCCUCCAGUGCACCUUCUCAGCCUGGUAGGUCCUGUGCCGGCUCCAUGCACCUGGCCUCCAGUGCACCUUCUCAGCCUGGUAGGUCCUGUGCCGGCUCCAUGCACCUGGCCUCCAGUGCACCUUCUUAGCCUGGUAGGUCCUGUGCCGACUCCAUGCACCUGGCCUCCAGUGCACCUUCUCAGCCUGGUAGGUCCUGUGCCGGCUCCAUGCACCUGGCCUCCAGUGCACCUUCUCAGCCUGGUAGGUCCUGUGCCGGCUCCAUGCACCUGGCCUCCAGUGCACCUUCUCAGCCUGGUAGGUCCUGUGCCGGCUCCAUGCACCUGGCCUCCAGUGCACCUUCUCAGCCUGGUAGGUCCUGUGCCGGCUCCAUGCACCUGGCCUCCAGUGCACCUUCUCAGCCUGGUAGGUCCUGUGCCGGCUCCAUGCAACUGGCCUCCAGUGCACCUUCUCAGCCUGGUACGUCCUGUGCCGGCUCCCCGUACUCGUACACCAGGUCUACAGCCCGGAACCCCCAGCGACGUUCCACGGCCCGGGGCUUCCUGCGAUGGUGCCAUGGCCGGAGCCUUCCUCUGCGCCGGUGCCCAGUCCGGGCACAGCGUUCAGCCCCGCUCCAUGUCCGGAUCCGCGGUCUGA
ensembl:lncRNA